UGCCUUCGUGUUACCCGUUCAUUUUAUUAAAUGAUGAAUGUGGCGUCAAACAAGGCAUACAGUAAUUUCCUUGCCCCUUAUAGUGCCCUGAAGUUAUUUCAUGGUACUGGGUUGCAUGGGAACAGUU